UAAUCACAAGAUGCCCUCAAUCUCACAUCUCUCUCUCGCGAUACCCUCUCUGCUUCCCUGCGUCUCACUCUCUCGCGAACUCGCUCUCAAUCUCCUCUUCGCUCUCAAUCUCUUCUUCUCACCAAAAACCCUCUCUCGCGUACGACAAAAAAAUGGCUGAACAAAACAAAAGAGCUCACCUUCGAACCUCCGACGGCAACGACAGCUCAGGUAAUGAGUCUCCCUCCUUUCAC
rnacentral:lncRNA from 1 species